UACGUAGGGGGCAAGCGUUGUCCGGAUUUAUUGGGCGUAAAGAGCGUGUAGGCGGCCAGGUAGGUCAGCUGUGAAAACUCGAGGCUCAACCUCGAGACGUCGGUUGAAACCGUAUGGCUAGAGUCCGGAAGAGGAGAGUGGAAUUCCCGGUGUAGCAGUGAAAUGCGUAGAGAUCAUGAGGAAGACCAGUGGCGAAGGCGGGUCUCUGGACAGUUCCUGACACUGAGGCACGAAGGCCCAGGGGAGCAAAACGGGG
rnacentral:rRNA from 1 species